AUGAACGCUAGCGGCAGGCUUAACACAUGCAAGCCGAGGGGUAUCACGCUUUCGGGCGUGAGAGACCGGCGCACGGGUGCGUAACGCGUAUGCAAUCUACCUUUUGCAGAGGAUAGCCCAGAGAAAUUUGGAUUAAUACCUCAUAGUAUAGAACAAUCGCAUGAUUGAGCUAUUAAAGUCACAACGGCAAAAGAUGAGCAUGCGUCCCAUUAGUUAGUUGGUAAGGUAACGGCUUACCAAGACUACGAUGGGUAGGGGUCCUGAGAGGGAGAUCCCCCACACUGGUACUGAGACACGGACCAGACUCCUACGGGAGGCAGCAGUGAGGAAUAUUGGACAAUGGGCGCAAGCCUGAUCCAGCCAUGCCGCGUGCAGGAUGACGGUCCUAUGGAUUGUAAACUGCUUUUGUACAGGAAGAAACACCUCUACGUGUAGAGACUUGACGGUACUGUAAGAAUAAGGAUCGGCUAACUCCGUG
rnacentral:rRNA from 1 species